UACGUAGGGAGCAAGCGUUGUCCGGAAUCAUUGGGCGUAAAGCGCGCGUAGGUGGCCAUUUAAGUCCGCUGUGAAAGUCAAAGGCUCAACCUUUGAAAGCCGGUGGAUACUGGAUGGCUAGAGUACGGAAGAGGCGAGUGGAAUUCCUGGUGUAGCGGUGGAAUGCGCAGAUAUCAGGAGGAACACCGGUGGCGAAGGCGGCCUACUGGGCCAGCACUGACGCUGAGGCGCGAAAGCGUGGGGAGCAAACAGG
rnacentral:rRNA from 1 species